UUUUCCCCGGUAAUCUAGCAUAUCAAUAAGCGGAGGAAAAGAAACUAACAAGGAUUCCCCUAGUAACUGCGAGUGAAGCGGGAAAAGCUCAAAUUUAAAAUCUGGCGGUCUUUGGCCGUCCGAGUUGUAGUCUGGAGAAGUGCUUUCCGCGCUGGACCGUGUAUAAGUCUCUUGGAACAGAGCGUCAUAGAGGGUGAGAAUCCCGUCUUUGACACGGACUACCAGUGCUUUGUGAUGCGCUCUCAAAGAGUCGAGUUGUUUGGGAAUGCAGCUCAAAAUGGGUGGUGAAUUCCAUCUAAAGCUAAAUAUUGGCGAGAGACCGAUAGCGAACAAGUACCGUGAGGGAAAGAUGAAAAGCACUUUGGAAAGAGAGUUAAACAGUACGUGAAAUUGCUGAAAGGGAAACGCUUGAAGUCAGUCGCGUUGGCCGGAACUCAGCCUUGCUUUCGCUUGGUGCACUUUCCGGUUAACGGGCCAGCAUCGAUUUUGACCGUCGGAAAAGGGUUGGAGUAAUGUGGCACCUUCGGGUGUGUUAUAGACUCUAGUCGCAUACGGCGGUCGGGAUCGAGGAACGCAGCGCGCCGUAAGGCAGGGGUUCGCCCACUUUCGCGCUUAGGAUGCUGGCAUAAUGGCUUUAAACGACCCGUCUUGAAACACGGACCAAGGAGUCUAACAUACCUGCGAGUGUUUGGGUGGAAAACCCGAGCGCGUAAUGAAAGUGAAAGUUGAGACCUCUGUCGUGGAGGGCAUCGACGCCCGGACCUGACGUUCUCUGACGGAUCCGCGGUAGAGCAUGUAUGUUGGGACCCGAAAGAUGGUGAACUAUGCCUGAAUAGGGUGAAGCCAGAGGAAACUCUGGUGGAGGCUCGUAGCGAUUCUGACGUGCAAAUCGAUCGUCAAAUUUGGGUAUAGGGGCGAAAGACUAAUCGAACCAUCUAAGCGCC
rnacentral:rRNA from 1 species